rnacentral:rRNA from 1 species
GACGAACGCUGGCGGCGUGCCUAAUACCUGCAAGUCGAACGCACAGUUUAUACCGUAGCUUGCUACACCAUAGACUGUGACUUGCGAACGGGUGAGUAACGCGUAGGUAACCUGCCUUGUAGCGGGGGAUAACUAUUGGAACCGAUAGCUAAUACCGCAUAAUAUUAAUUAUUGCAUGAUAAUUCAUUCAAAGGUGCAAUUGCACCACUACCAGAUGGACCUCCGUUGUAUUAGCUAGUAGGUGAGGUAACGGCUCACCUAGGCGAAGAUACAUAGCCGACCUGGGAGGGUGGUCGGCCAAACUGGGACUGGGACACGGGCCAGGCUCCUACGGGGGGGAGCAGUAGGGAAACUUUGGAAAUGGACGAAAGGCUGACCGAGCAACGCCGCGGUAGUGAAGAAGGGUUUCGGAUCGUAAAACUCUGUUGUAAGAGAAGAAAGGGUGUGAGAGUGGAAAGUUCACACUGUGACGGUAUCUAACCAGAAAGGGACGGCUAACUACGUG